AUGAAAAUUUCGAGCGCCAAACACCAAAAAAAAUAAAAAAUCAAAAUCAAAAGAUUUAACUCUUUGGCCCUAACAUCAAUUUUAUAUAUACAUGCACACUAUCUAUUAAAACAAUUUGGGGAAUUUGGCUUCACAUCUCCUCUUUCGAAAAUUGGGAAAUUUGGACUCCUUUCUCCUUUCAAAAAAUCUGGGGAAUUUGGCUUCUAUUCUCCUUUCUCCUUCCAUCACCACCGCCGGCGAGCUUGGCUUCUCGUCAUCACUAGCUUCUCCAUAAUAAUUGGUAUUGAAGACUAUUACCCGAUCAAAGGCAAAGUUGAAACGUUUGAAGAUAUAUAGCUACCUUAGAAGAAUUAGAAACUAAUUUUGUUAAAUCCCAUUUUGUAAUCAUGCUUUGGAAUUGUAAUGUUUAAACUCUUAAUGUAAUUAAAACAUGAUCUUGUAAUUAUUAUUUUACUUGUAUAAAUAUAUCUAUAUAUCUUUUGUGUAAA